rnacentral:SRP_RNA from 1 species
CCGCACUAAUCGGGGAGUUAGCGGUGCCCUGAAUCUGCAAUCCGCUAUAGCAGGGAUGAUGCCCACCCCCGGUUUUAUGAUGUGUCGUCAGCCGCAAGCUGAAGGUGAUGAAGAACCGGUCUUGCGCAACGCGAAACUGUGAACCAUGUCAGGCGGGGAACCGAGCAGCAUUAAGCAGAAAUUCGCGUGUGCCGCGAGGCUGCCGGUUUGGAGCCGGAAGCUUUCGUAACGGGCGUAUCAUAAUUAUCAAAGGUGGGUGUGCGG